rnacentral:lncRNA from 1 species
AAGACCUUUAAAUCUAACAUUAUCAGAAUCCCCCUGCUGUAUUCAAGUCAAAGGACCAAAAAUGGACAUGAAAAUUGCCAAUGAAACCCUUCCAUCAAUGAAUACGUUUUUACAAAUAUUAUCUAAAUUCUCAUUAUAUUUGUUGUAACAACCUGUUUUAUACCAACUAGAAAGAACACUAAGUUAUUGUGUAUGGUUUUAAUUUCCUGGACCCAGGAAUCUUCCAGUUUAAUCAAAUUCAACAUGGACUCAUUUAAUGACUACUCAAGUGUUUAUGUAUUAUUCAACAGAUUUGUCUUAGAGAACUUAAAACAAUAUAGUACAUUGAUUGUUUCAGUUCUUAAAGAUAUUUACAAAAACAUGUUUUAGUUCAACAUGUAUGCAAAGGUAACUUAACAGUUACUACACUAUCAUUAAACAUCUUUUUGUUUUGGUGUACAUUCCUGCAUGAGUUACGCAGUUCUGUAAAUGACCUAUCAAACUAUAAUGUAGAGUAUAUAUACUUUCCAGUAGGCCAUAUAUUUGAUACCUGAUAACAUCAGAAGUUAAAGUUUCACAGCAUUAAUGCUGUGGAUCACGGUCUCCAAAUAAUCCCUCUCUGUGGCAGAAUUCCUUUUUAUUUUAAUUGGUACUAAUGAACUUUUGAAUCUGAAUUUAUUUCUAUGACUGACAAAAGUUCUCUUCAUUUGAUUUCAGCCCCUAUCUGUUUCUCUGACUUGCCUCAAAUUACAGAUUAAAGUAAACCACUUGGAUUAGCUGUGCAGUUGUUUCUGGAUAGGAGUAUGACAACUUCAUUCUCAAUCACCCAAUAAUUAUUUUUAAAAGACUGUUAACUACUUCAUAAAUAAAGUACUGUAUAAAAUGUUUG